UCCCCGAAUCUUUGGUUAGAAAAGACUUAUCAGCAUGUAGAUUCUGCACUUUGAGGAAGACAUUUGGCUGUGAAUGAAAAGAUCCCUAGUCCUUCAAUAUAAUGCAACUGUUACCCCAAAGAAAGUUCAGGUAGGUGGUUUCUAAGUAUUGCUUGAGACUUCUAUUUUUUAUAGAGGCUGAAGUUGCUCCACACUUCGAUUUCUCCUCAAGUCCCUGAAGAAUCACUUCAAUAAAGCUCCACUCAGGCAACGGGUCUUCAUCCUCCUGCCCUUCCCUAACGCUGAACUCUUCCUCCUCAUCCUCCUCGUUCAGAGCUACGGUGCCAUUUCGGUCUCCCUCGCCCAUUUCGGCCCGAUGCGGGAGAAAGCCGUUAACGGCGAAAGCGCUCCGUGAGUACUGUAGAGAAAAGCACACGGGCUUUUAUAUAUCCCUGCUACUACGCACAAGAUGGACGAGAGCUGCUCGGAGGAAAAGCCCAUCGACCCCAGCGGGCCCCAGUGAAUGUGAUCCCGCGGACACGAGAGUGACCCCUGCUGGUGGAACGGCUGCCUAGGGCCGGCUUGCCAGCCAAAGCUGCACGCGGGCAGUGCAUCUUCCUCUGACUCUGGUCUGUACAGGCUUGGCCUGUGGGCUGUGGUGUGAGAAGGAAGUCUGUUUCUGGAGGACUGAGAAAGAUGCUGUGGAGGUUGAAUGCCGCUGUAAAAAACAAACUGGACAUUUAAAAUAA